rnacentral:tRNA from 1 species
CGCAGUGUAGUUUACCAAAACAUCUCGCUUACACCGAAAAGACAUCUCAUGAUUAGAUCACUGUGA